AUGUCCUUCUGUAUGAAAAGCUGGAAAUCCUGUUUGGGAGUGAAAAAUGAAGCUUACCGUGAGCUGAAAGCAGGUAGGUUGCUGGUGGUGGUAGUAUGCAUUUUAUCUGGCUGUGCUGGUGGUGGUAGUAUGCAUUUUAUCUGGCUGUGCUGGAUCGAGAUAACCCAUUACCCUGCCUUUGUUGAGGACUGCCCUUCCCAGAAUGCCAUGAUUAGUAAAGAGUCCAGCUAA